rnacentral:rRNA from 1 species
AUUGAACGCUGGCGGCAUGCUUUACACAUGCAAGUCGAACGGUAACAGCACUUCGGUGGCUGACGAGUGGCGAACGGGUGUGUAAUACAUCGGAACGUGCCUAGUAGUGGGGGAUAACUACUCGAAAGAGUAGCUAAUACCGCAUGAGAUCUAAGGAUGAAAGCAGGGGACCUUCGGGCCUUGCGCUACUAGAGCGGCUGAUGGCAGAUUAGGUAGUUGGUGGGAUAAAAGCUUACCAAGCCGACGAUCUGUAGCUGGUCUGAGAGGACGACCAGCCACACUGGGACUGAGACACGGCCCAGACUCCUACGGGAGGCAGCAGUGGGGAAUUUUGGACAAUGGGCGCAAGCCUGAUCCAGCAAUGCCGCGUGCAGGAUGAAGGCCUUCGGGUUGUAAACUGCUUUUGUACGGAACGAAAAGCCCUCUUCUAAUACAGGAGGGUCAUGACGGUACCGUAAGAAUAAGCACCGGCUAACUACGUG